CAUGCUUGGAGUAAGACAUUCAGAGUAAAACUCUGGGGGUAACAUUCUCACAGUAAGAUGUUGAUAGUAAGACUUUCAGAGUAAGACUCUUAACACCCUCGGAGUAGGACACUCAGAGGAAGAUGAUAAUAGGGUGAUGUUUGGAGCAAGACAGUUGGAGUAACAUGCUCAGAAGUGAGACAUUCAAAAGCUCGUCUCGAAACCUUUUCAUACCACCUGGAGUGGAUGGGAGAGUCAUCAGCAAGCAAAUCUUACCUGCUAUCUCAUCGCUAAAUUUAACAUCUGUAAGCACGUGAAACAUCAUAUAGAUUAAGAAUACAAAUCAUUUUACUAAAUGUUUCUACACAGCUGGAGAUGUUACUCUACAGAUCAUAUACACCACAUCCUAGCUUGUCAGCCAUCUGCGGUCUGAAGGUUUCGAGGGUGUGAGGCCACCUGCUGCUGGCGUUUCUCCUCCGAACGUAAUUACACACAUGUGCAAAC